rnacentral:rRNA from 1 species
AAAGUCGGGAGCUAAGGCGAGGCCGAAAGGCGUAGUCGAUGCACAUACGGUAGAUAUUCCGUAACCGCCGAAGGAUUAAAGCAAAGGGACACCUGCGAAGCGUGUAACCCGGGCGAUGGUUGCCCCGGGCGUAAGGGACCGAAAUUUAGUAGGGAAGUACAUGUAGAGCAGGGCGAGAAAAGCUUUGUGUAUAUCCAAGGCGCCCGUACCGCAAACCGACACAGGUAGAUAGGAAGAGAAUUCUAAGGCCAACGGGAGAAGGGUAGUUAAGGAACUCGGCAAAUUGGUCCCGUAACUUAGGGAAAAGGGACGCUCCAGAGAUGGAGCCGCAGUGAAUAGGCCCAGGCGACUGUUUAGCAAAAACACAGGUCUCUGCCAAAUCGAAAGAUGAAGUAUAGGGGCUGACACCUGCCCGGUGCUGGAAGGUUAAGAGGAGAUGUGCAGGCAUUGAAUUGAAGCCCCAGUAAACGGCGGCCGUAACGAUAACGGUCCUAAGGUAGCGAAAUUCCUUGUCGGGUAAGUACCGACCCGCACGAAUGGUGUAACGAUCUGGGCACUGUCUCAACUACCCGCCCGGCGAAAUUGUAGUACCGGUGAAGAUGCCGGUUACCCGCGACAAGACGGAAAGACCCCAUGGAGCUUUACUGUAGCUUGAUAUUGGGUUUCGGUAAUUUAUGUACAGGAUAGGCGGGAGACUAGGAAGCCAGUACGCCAGUAUUGGUGGAGUCGUCCUUGGGAUACCGCUCUUAAGUUGCUGGAAUUCUAACCUGCGGCCGUGAAUCCGGCCGGGGGACAUUGUCAGGUGGGCAGUUAGACUGGGGCGGUCGCCUCCAAAAGAGUCACGGAGGCGCUCAAAGGUUCGCUCAGCACGGACGGAAACCGUGCUUUUGAGUGUAAACGCAGAAGCGAGCCUGACUGCGAGGGUGACGGCCCGAGCAGAAACGAAAGUUGGAGUUAGUGAUCCGGCGGUAUGUGAAUGGAAAUGCCGUCGCUCAACGGAUAAAAGCUACCCUGGGGAUAACAGGCUGAUCUCCCCCAAGAGUCCACAUCGACGGGGAGGUUUGGCACCUCGAUGUCGGCUCAUCACAUCCUGGGGCUGUAUUCGGUCCCAAGGGUUCGGCUGUUCGCCGAUUAAAGUGGUACGCGAGCUGGGUUCAGAACGUCGUGAGACAGUUCGGUCCCUAUCUGUCGUGGGCGCAGGAUAUUUGAGGAGCUCUGUCCUUAGUACGAGAGGACCGGGAUGGACGCACCGCUGGUGCACCAGUUGUCACGCCAGUGGCACAGCUGGGCAGCAAGUGCGGAUCGGAUAAACGCUGAAAGCAUCUAAGCGUGAAGCCGGCUCCAAGAUAAGAUAUCCCAUUCCGUAAGGAAGUAAGACCCCUUGAAGACUACAAGGUUGAUAGGCUGCGUGUGUAAGCGCCGCGAGGCGAUCAGCUUGGCAGUACUAAUAGGUCGAGGGCUUGAUC